AGACAAGGAAGCAAAGAGAUUUCGGCUAAAGAAAUCUGAACUUGAAAAGAGAACACAAAAUGCUUUAUGUGUACUAGUGUGAUUGUAUGGACAAAAAGCCACCUGAAGAAAACCCGCAGCCGCAGAAACUGAGUCAGUAAAGUAGCUAACUAUGCUAGCUCAGGUUAUUUGCCGCCAUUUCUUCAAGUUGCCAUCCCUCCCCCAAUAAAACAGCUUGUGGUACAGUGGUAAAACAGUAUUUCCACAUAUUGCCACGUUUAAGCUGUGAUAGCUCCCACAUAUUUUGUAGUGUAACACUAAUAACUCCCACAUAUUUUCUAGUGUAACACUCUGAAGAAAGCCAGUUAGCAAGUUGUUAACAUGUAAACACAUGUGCGCGGAAGUAACGCCUAUAAAUCACACAAAGCAUCAUGGGAGCUAGAAAUUUGCUGGAAAGAAGAUAAAUGUUUUAGACCCACAGGAAGCUAAUUAAGUGCUGCAGUGUUUUUAAGUCUCGUAAUUUUGUUCGUAUCUUCACAUGUAACAUCUCUGUUUUUUUAAAGUAUAUUUUUAACCAAGUUGUAAAGUGUACUUAUGUUUGCACCAGUUGUGAAAAAUAUAUUGUCCUUGUUUAGAAACCUUAGAACAGUUUUAACUUUAUUCUUGUAUUUAAGAAAAUAAAUAUUCACCUAUUUUUAACAUAUAUAUAUUUUUACGGUUGUUUUUUAAUUGAAAUUUAUUUUGCUUGUAUUUACAGCUUCUCUCUUCUGCGAGACUUUGUGAUUUGGAAGUUUUCCACUGCUGCCUGCUACGAAUCUGACCUCUGCAUCAUCACACCAUCUAAUUAAUUCACUUAUACUGAUACCUGUUGAUCCUAUAGAGAUAUAUUUUAUCUAGAUAUUAAGAAAAGCACAUAGUAACAUUGAGUUAAAAGCAUUCACAAACACAUAUAAUAUUGUUUGAAUAACCAGCUUUCCGCCCCCCCAGGUGUCUUCUUUUUUUUUUCUGCUGUUACAGGAUGCCACGUAGAGGACGACGCUCCGAGGCUGCCAAGGUGAGAUGGAGAAAGCUGGAGAUUGUGCCGGUCGACGCAAAGCCUGGGACACCACCGCUCGCACCCAGCGCUUGGAACCCAACUCGGUCUCCGCCAAAGAAGAUGUCCCGACUGCUGGAGGGUGAACUGCACGACCAAAUGUCGCCUCCCGUGGUGCGUCAGGAGGAGCCCCGUGUGCCACCGACCUCUCCUGGGUUACGCCGUGGGACGGGGCGUCGCCAUCGGGUGGAGACGUGGCCAGCCUCCCGGGUGACCAGACGGAGCUGCAAGUUGGUUCUGCCUACUGCCGGGGCUCUGGAGAAGAAGUUUGCUCUUUUGGUUGGUGAUUCCCAUCUGCGUGCUUUUGUGGAUGGGUAUUCUACCAUGCCAAAGGGCGACUUCUCCUUAGGGGUGCUUGCAUCCCCCGGUGCCUCUGCGGAAGAGUUGCGGCUUGAGGUGCUGGAUGCAGUUCUGCCUCGGCCCCCCGAGGUGAUCUGUCUUCUGGCCCCAAGUAACAACUUAACCGCCAGCAGGACUUUCGUGGAGGCCGGAGCAGCGUUUGACGCUUUGUUGAGUACCGUCUGCAACCUCUCUGCUAAUGUGGUCGUUGUGGACUUUCCACCGCGCCUUUGCGUGGAGGUCAGUGUGCAACAGCUGCUGCGGCAGGAGUUUCAACGUGUGGCUGGUCAGAGAAGUGUUCGGUACUUGCCUGUCACUGAACACUUCCCGUUGAGCUGCCUGGCAUUGUGGAGCAGGGAUGGCGUUCACUUGAGCGACCAUCCUGGGAUGGAGGUCCUUGCUCAGUUGCUUGAGGCGGCGGUCUGCUCGCAACUUGAGUUAAGUGCAUCGAAAUCUCCUGCUCCUGUGAUGUUGGCUGAUCCCCCUCCUGGGACGGCUUCCCCCCCCCCGGUGAGACGUCCCCUGCCCCGGAUGGUUGUGGUUAGCGAGGAGGCUGCUCCGCGUCGUUCGGAGUCCUUCGCCUGGACUGUGGUUGGUGGUGGUCGGAAGGGAGACCUGCUGGAUUCUUCCAUCCCCCCCAAUCCCGUGUGCUUCAGCCCAGCGUUGCUGGAGGAGAUGGACCGGAUCGUUCCUGCGUCUGGCCUUGAAACUCCGCUACCUACAUGUUCUCCAAAGGGGAAAAAGAAGGCGACUGUCAGGCGUCGUCCAAUUUCCUACCCCUCCAAGCUGAAUCCAGUGGAGCAGCAGAUGGAGGGAGCGCCGAGAGAGACCAACAGCAAAGCUCGUCGCCAGGCACAGAGUCCUGUACCCCCGAUGAACGUCCAGGACGAGUCCUCUUCCGUGCCACAGGAGGAACAUUUUUGGGAUGGGAGCUGCAAGGCUUCUGCACUAGAAGUCAGGAUCAGCAGUCCACCUGUCCUGUUGGUAAGUGCUACACAUUCCCAGGCCGACAAGAGGUAUGCUGCAUUUUCCCGUAAUCACCAGUGCACAUGCAUGGCACUCACAUUUUUAGCUUACCACAAUGAGGGGUUGCAGUUUGACACAGUGAUGCUUGAUAGAGUGAUUGAAAAAGGAGACCAACUUUAUGCCGGCGUUAAACAGCAACUGAUCAGUGAUGGAACAUUUCGUGACAAUCACUUGACGUUUGAACAGAUGCCUGACCAUGUACUCACAGAUAGGAACAUCUAUGCAGUACACACAACUGGUUUAAGGGUAGGUCAUGUUUUUGCUCGUAGCAGGAGCGCUCAAGGAUCUCGACAAUUGGGUUUGCAUCUUGCCCUGCAACUGGAAUGUCUGUCGGAAAAUGUAACCCAUGCUUUCCUUUUGGUGACUCCAGAGUGCAUUGCAGUUUUCAGGGACAGAAGCGGUCGGUUUGGAGUUUUUGAUUCCCACUCAAGAAAUUCAGCAGGCCUGCCCCACCCCAGUGGAACUGCAGUAAUGAUGACUUUCUGCAACCUGUCUGACUUGGUCAGCCAUCUAUUGAAGCUCUUUCGAAAUCGCGGCCCCAAUGCCACCUAUGAGUUUGUGCCAGUAGGUUUUGACAGGGAAAAUGAAGAUCAUCCUCAGAACUUGACUUUUGACAACAUUUCACCUGUAGCAACACAGGUAAGUCCAACUGCUUUGAAAUCAGAGAGUCCGUCUGAUGAGGAAAUGCCUCCUUGGCUUAGGGAAGUUGCAAACGUAUUAGAGGAGAGACCUCCAACCAUUACAAAUUUGUCAAAAGUGCCAAAAACCGAUAGAAGAAAAAUUAAAAACAGGAUCAAAACACAACAGAGACAGAAUGUAGGAAGUAAAAUGAAACAAAGUUCAUCUGAAAAAGAAAGAUAUCUGACAUCUCCAACAUUUAGGACCAAAAAGCUACAGGCCUUAAAAGAAAACUAUAUUCUUCAUAAAGUAGAGAGGAAGGAUCAGUUAAAUAACAGAUAUAGAACAGAUGCAUUUUUCCGGAAGAGACGAAUAAAUUACAUUAAGGACAGAUUCGAUUUUGUCCGUAGCUUCAGAGACAGUCAUAAAGCCAAGAUGGCUGAGUAUAUGAAGAAACGAUUCAGAGAGGAUCCGGCCUUUAGAAGCAGAAAAAAAUCAAACAUCAGGAAUCGAUUCAGAGAUGAUCCGGCCUUUAGAAGCAGACAAAAAGCAUACAUCAGGAAUCGAUUCAGAGAUGAUCCGGCCUUUAGAAGCAGACAAAAAGCAUACAUCAGGAAUCGAUUCAGAGAUGAUCCGGCCUUUAGAAGCAGACAAAAAUCAUACAUCAGGAAUCGAUUCAGAGAUGAUCCGGCCUUUAGAAGCAGACAAAAAUCAUACAUCAGGAAUCGAUUCAGAGAUGAUCCGGCCUUUAGAAGCAGACAAAAAUCAAAUAUCAGAAAUCGAUUCAGAAACGAUCCGGUCUUCAGAAGCACACACAAAAAAACAAUGCGUGAAUAUAUGAAGGCGAAGUAUCAUAGUGAGCCUGCUUAUCGAGCAAAACAUAAAGAAAAAUGUGCUGCCAACAGAAGAGGCAGACUAUCAAGAGAAGCACAUUCCCAAAAUUUAACACUGCAGCAUGCUUUGCGAAUCACAAGGAAGUAUAAAAGAAACGUAAGCUUCCACCUUGAAACUCCAAGCUCUCUGAUAACUGAGGAAAUGAAAGCUGCAAUACAAAACUUUUAUAAGAACAUUAAAAACGGACCCACAUAUGUUUGCACCGUGUGUCACAGAGCUCUUUUCCCCAAUCAAGUAAAGCGCUGUAAACGAGAUAAAUAUACCAAGAAUAUGCGUGUAGUAGCUGAUUGUCUAACCGGUACAUAUGUUCAUGUGUGUGGAUCUGCAUGCUCAACCCCAUGUUCUGUACCCGAAGAAAGGAUGGGGGAGUGGAUCUGCUACACAUGUGACAGCCAUCUAACCAGAGGAAAGAUGCCAUCUAUUGCUGCUGUUAAUAACCUUCACCUAGCUUCUGUUCCACCAGAGCUUGCGGAAUUGAAUGUACUUGAACGGCAAUUAAUUGCAAAAAUUCUACCUUUUGCAAAAAUUGUUUCCUUGCCCAAAGGACAGCAAAGGGCAAUACAUGGAGCGGUUGUCUGUGUUCCUUCUGAAAUGGAAACAGUCGUAAACAGUCUUCCGAGGCCCCGUGAGGAAGCCCAGCUUUUACAGGUGAAGCUGAAGAGAAAAACCAAGUAUAAAGGAUACCAAUACUUUUACACAGUAAACAUGAAAAAUGUCUUAGCUGCACUGACCAAGCUUAAAGACAGUCAUCCGGAUUACAAAGAAGUAAGUAUAAAUGAAAGUGCAACAUUUGAAGAUUUCCAAGAGGAUCAGCCAGUUGAGGACUUGGAAACAGAAGCAGCGGAGACUGAAAUGGAUAUAGAAGCAGACCAGCAACCUGACCACAUAGGGAUAGAGCAUCAGGCACUUCGACCUGGUCUGAUCUUGGACACCUGCAUGCAGCCUCCUGACAUAGCACAGGAAGUAUUGUCAUAUGGAGAAGGGAUUUUCAGCAUUGCGCCGGCUCAGGGGAACAAGCCCAUCUCCUUCUUCAGUGUUCCAAGACUUGAAGCCAAGGCUUAUCCUGUACAUUUCCCAACUGGAAUAAACACAUUAGAUGAAGCCCGCCGUGUUGCACUUUCACCGAGUAUGUAUUUCAAUGUACGACUUUUCUCAAUAGAUACUCGGUUUGCCAAAGACCAGAGUUACCUUUUCUUUGCUCAGUUUGUCACGGAAACUCAUAUUGCCAAUAGUAGUAUGUCCAUUCAGAGAAGAAAAGGGAAACCAAGCACCAAAGAUGGGAAAAAUAUUUCCAGCAAAAUGCUGCAGGAUAAAGAGGAGUUGCAAAAACUUAUCCAGAAUAAAGAGGCUACCCGUUUCAUGCAACCCUUAAGAGGAACUCCAGCUUAUUGGGAGAAAGGGUUACGUGAUUUGCACGCCAUGGUGAGGCAACUUGGAAAGCCCACUUUCUUUUGCACGUUCUCUGCUGCUGAAAUGAGAUGGCCAGAAGUCAUUGAGGCCAUCAAAGGUCAACAUGGCGAGCAGGUAGAUUUUUCUGAGCUUGACUGGAAUGCAAAAUGUGACAUUCUUAGAAGCAACCCUGUAACCGUCAUGCGCAUGUUUGAAAAGAGAGUGGAUGCACUGUUUAGAGACCUCAUUCUUUCCCCUGCACAGCCCCUUGGAGCAGUGGACGAUUACUUUUAUCGUGUAGAAUUUCAGGCAAGGGGUUCACCACACAUACAUGCUGUGAUAUGGAUUAAGGAUGCACCUGAAAUGGAAGACCCCUCAUGUUGCGGUGAAGUCAUAAAGUUCAUCGAUCGUCACAUAUCCUGUCAGUUGCCUGAUGAAACCAGAGAUCCAGAGCUUCACAAAAUAGUCACAGAGGUUCAAAUGCACAGCAAAAAGCACUCAAAAUCAUGCAAAAAAGGUAAUGUUGAAUGCAGAUUUGGAUUCCCCAAACUAGCAAUGGACCGCACCAGAAUCACCGUCCCAGUAAUUGACUUUGAUUUGGAAAUUGAUGAUGAAACACCAAAGCAAAGUAAGCCAAAAGGUAGGAGAAAUUCCAAAAAAUCGAGAUCACCAUUUGUCUCAAACCUACAAAGAGAGGCUAAGAAGAAACUGAAAACAGUUAGAGAUUUACUUAAAGAUGAGAAAUCAUCUUUCAGGGAUUUGUCAGAGUUACUCCAGGCUUGUAAUAUGACUAAAAUAGAGUACAAUGGCCAUGUUGAUGCUCUCACUUCUGGAAUGGUGGUAAUGAUGAAACGGGAUCCUAAAGAUAGCUGGGUCAAUGGGUACAACCCCGAUCUCCUUCGUGCAUGGAAUGCUAACAUGGACAUUCAGUAUGUGCUUGAUGAGUACACCUGCAUUGAGUACAUGAUGUCCUACAUAGCCAAGCCAGAGCAUGAAAUGGCGCAGUUCCUCAAGUCUGUUGUUGAUGAUUUAAAGACGGCCAAUGUUAGCCAACGCGAUGAGAUGAAGAAGAUCAUGCAGGCUUAUUCAAAACAGAGAGAGGUUAGUGCUCAAGAAUCCGUUGCGCGCACUUGUAGCCUACCUCUCAAAAAGUCCUCUCGUAGUGUCCUUUUUCUUCAAACAGAUGAAGACGGUAUAAAAAUGAGUCUUCCAAUGAGUAAACUCGUAAACAUGUCCCCAGAUGAAGAGAAUGUGUGGAUGAAAGGAUUGCCGGAAAAAUAUCUCAACAGACCAGACACAUUAGAAUUCGAACACAUGUGCCUGGCAGAAUUUGCAUCAGAAUACCGGGUUCUAUAUGGUAGGCAAAUUGAAGGGCCAAAUGCAAUUGCCCUCCUUAAUGAUGCAGGAUACAUCCAGAAAAGAACUAUCGGCAAACCUGCAGUUAUUAGAUUUACUCGUUUCUCUGAGAAAAAAACACCCGAAAAGUUUUACAGACGGCUUCUGAAGUUGUAUUUUCCUCAUAGACGAGAUGAGGACCUAAAAAAUGAGGAAUGCACAACCUACGAAGCCUUUUACAACAACGGUUUUCGUGGUAGAUAUCGGGUUAAACAGUAUGUGGAUUUCAAUUGCAAAAGGUAUGAAGGGCAAGGUAAGAAAAUUGAUAAGAUUAUGGAAGAUCUGAAUAAGCAAGGACCGGUUCGUAAUGCGUGGAACACUUUUGCACCAGAGGUUGAGGUAGACAGUUUAGAAUGCGCUGCUGAGCGACCACCAUUGCAAGAAGAUGAAGAGCAAGACCCUAUUCCAGAUUAUGAAAUUGAUGUCAGCACUGUAGACAUGCCAAAAAUUGAAGCUCCUAAACUGAGCCCUGAUUUCAUCAGACAAAUGUACAGGAGUUUAAAUGAGACUCAAGCGUCCGUGUUUUACGCCAUUCGCGAUUGGUGUCUGAAGCGCGUCUGGGGUGAGAAACCAGAACCAUUCUUUUAUUUCUUGACGGGAGGAGCCGGAUGUGGUAAAUCUCAUGUCAUCAAAUGUGUUUAUCAGGAGGCAACCAAGCUCUUGCGCCAGCUUCCGAGAAUUCUCGAUAUUGGUGACAUGUCCAAGCCCACUGUGCUCCUCACAGCUUUUACUGGUACUGCAGCGUACAACAUAUCAGGGAAGACUUUACAUUCCAUCUUGAAGCUACCCAAAAGUUUAAAACCACCAUACAAGGGACUUGGAAAUUCAUUGGAUGAAGUGAGGGCAGUUCUUUCUAAUGUAGAAAUCUUAAUCAUCGAUGAAAUCUCCAUGGUCUCCAAAGACCUACUUGCAUAUGUUCACUGGAGAUUUCAACAAAUCAAGGGGAACAACAGGUUCAUGGGUGGGGUCUCUGUUUUGGCUGUGGGGGAUUUCUUCCAACUUCCUCCUCUUGGACGAUCAAAACCGCUUUGUGUCGCCGAGGAUGGCGUGCUUGAUAUCUGGAAUGAGAAUUUCCAGAUGAUCAGCCUGACAGAAAUCAUGCGGCAGAAAGAUGACCGAACGUUUGCAGAGCUCCUGAACAGGAUUCGAGUUAAAGGUAAAGCCGAUUCACUUAGUAAGGAUGACAAGACUCUUUUGAUCCAAGCUGUUACUGACUCAAAAGAGUGUCCAAUGGAUGUUCUGCACAUUUUUGCAACAAACAAACAGGUGGACACCCAUAAUGCAGCAGUUGUGACCUCUUUAGGUGUAGUAACAGUUGAUAUCGAGGCAGAGGACUACAAAAGGGUUACAAAGACAGGAAACAUGAUUAAUCUGGGCUGUUGCAUAGCGGGCAACAAACGAGACUUGUCUAACAACAUACAGGCUGGUUUGGGUUUUAGGGUAAUGAUUAUAAGAAACUUGGAUGUAGAGGAUGGUCUUGUUAAUGGAACAUUUGGGACCAUUGCGGAUAUUGUCACCAGUACGAAAGAUGGAAAGAAUAGUGUAAAGUUAAUUGGACUCAAACUGGACAAUCCCCUCGCUGGACACACAAAAAAGAUUCAGGGUAAACCAGACAGCUUUGUUUACAUUGAGAGAUUUGAGGAACAGAGUAGCGUAAAGGGAGUGGUACGACGGCAAUUUCCAAUCAGGUUAGCCUUUGGGUGUACAGCACACAAAGUCCAAGGGAUGACCAUGAAGUCUGCGGUUAUUUCUUUGAAGCGUAUUUUUGAACCGGGAAUGGCAUAUGUGGCACUCAGUCGCACAACUUCCCUGGAAGGACUUAAAAUCAUUGAUUUUGAUGAAAGUAAGAUCUACGCUGACAAAAACAUCAGAGCAGCUAUGGAAUCAAUGAGAUCAGCAUCGUUUUUGCAUAUCAGACCACUCUUGCAUUUUCAGUCUGGUCAUCAAGGUGCAACAUUAACAAUUGUCCACCACAAUGUCGAAGGUCUUGUCUGUCACUCUGAGGACAUGAAACAACAUCAUGAACUUAUGCUGGCAGAUGUCUUAUGCCUAACGGAGACUCAUUUAUUUGGAUCUUCUGUUCCAGCUUCUUGCCAAAUGGAGGGCUAUUCUUUCUUUUCACGGAACAGACAUGUCUCCUACUCAAACAGAGUCGACAUUGCUACCAAAGAGGGUGGGGGAGUAGCGACUUACUGCCGGAGUCUUCUCCAACCGCAGGAACGUAGAUUCUUCAACCAGGUUACAGAUAUUGAAUUCAACGUUGUGAAAGUGGAAACCCCAAUCAGAGCACUGAUUGCGACAGUUUACAGGCCACCAAGUUAUGAUCUUGGAACAUUUUUAAGAAAUCUGCAGAACCUCUUGGAUGGCCUGAAUUCAAUGGAUAUUCGGCCCGUUGUCAUAUUGGGAGACUUCAAUGAGGACCUUAUUCCUCCUGGGAAAAAAGCCAUCAAUGAGUUGUUUAGAGCAAAAGGCUUUAUGCAACUCAUCUCUGAUGCAACCACAGAAAAACGUACCCUCCUUGAUCACAUUUACAUCUCCAAUCCAGAAUACUGUAUCCAAUCAGGUGUCUUGCAGGCUUACUACAGCUACCACAAUCCUAUAUACUGUGUGUUAGCUUCAGUAUAAACUGCAUCUACAGUGGCUUCCAAAAAUAGUUAUGUUCCUUGAAAUUUUCCUAAUCAUAAGGGGUAUUUUUCUUGAUCUUUUAUAUUAAAUUCCGAUGAAAUAUAUUUGUGGUUGUAAUGUAACAAUAUGGAACAGUUCAAGGAGUAUGAUUACUUUGUAAGCACUGUAAAUCUUAAUCCUGAAUUCAUGACAGGAUAUUAUUUUUGGAGAACAUGUAAAGAUCUUGCAUCAUUUUAUGUGACUGUGGGUUUUUUUGUAUAUGCAGCAAUCAGAAAGCAGUGUGGGUUGUUUUUCUCUAUCAUUGUUGCAGAGGGUUUGAUAUAUAUUUAUUCAUUGUACACAUUUGUGAAUUAUAGUGUAGCUUGUGGAUUUUGUUGUAGGAAUAAAAAUAUUCUUGUACAGUUUGCAAAUCUUUUCAAUACUUAUUUAGUUCCGUAGAAAGGAGGCUUCAUAACCAGGGUUUGUAUGUGCCCAUGAAACUUUGUUUGAGGUUUGGGAAUACGAAAGUGGCUGAUCUUGAAACACUUAUCGGUUCUCUGUCAGAGUAGUUGCUGGAAAUAUUGGACCAGGAAGCGGUAGAUUAAAAAAUCAGUUACUACACGUAUAUUCUGUUCUAUUUUGAAAUAAAAAUUAUUUCAAAUUGGUCUUCAAUCUGGCACAUAGCAUUUUCCUCAUUUUUCUAAUGCAGUUAGAGUAACUGUUACCCUUCGAGUAAGUUAAUUUUUUGCAAAACUCUUUUUUUAUUCUUCACAAUUUGCGUCAUUCAAUUAAAGCUCUCCUUGUUUCAUCUCUCCCCAAUGAUACUGCACUUUUUACUGCUGCAGCCCCCUAGGGGUUACUUCACUAGAAGGACAAAAGUUGAACUCACUUUUGUCCUGUUGGACUCCCUCCACAUACUGAGAAUUUGUGUUGUUUUGAUGGAAUUAACCUCUUUCCUCCCAGUUUUAGUCUGUUUUUGCAGGUUGUUCCACACAAACAAUCCUUGGAAGCUGCUAAGAAGAGAGAGGAAACGAGACCUGGAGGUUUGGCGCAUGAGAGUUAGCAAAUUGCAGGACAACCCUUGCCUAGCUCAUAGACUUGGUCCCACACCCAAUCUGAGGAGAAGAUGGAGUUCCUGUUUCUUUAGAUAGUCUGUGAAGUGUCACACCAGAUUGGAUGCCUAAGAAGAAGUUGGGAAAAAUCAAAAAGCUUUGGAGAAGCGAUUCUUUUUUGUUGUUGUUAUUCUUUAUAGUUGUAAAUAGUUUUUGAUGUAUGUAUAUAUUUAAGAUGGUUUCAUUUAUUGUAUAGAGACUGCAAUAUGUUACAUUAGAUUAAUUUAAAAUAUGUUUUCAUGUAUGUAUAUAGUUAUAAAGGUUUCACAUUUAUAACAAGUGGAUCAUCAUGGCAAAGCCAUAAUGUUUCACUUGUGACAGUAAAUCUGUCAGGCCUCACCUUGACACUCAGGCAACAACCCUGAGUGCCACACGGCCGGACAGGACACAUGUAAAAUAAAAAAGAUAGCAAUUUCUUUUUAUUGCAGAGACAUUAGAUUCUUAAAUUUAUGGUAUUCUUUA